rnacentral:tmRNA from 1 species
GGGGAUGAAAUGGAUUCGACAGGGUGACGGAGGCUAUAAGCUGCAUAUCGUGUUAGUCGUCAAACACGUUAAUAAAAGCGAUGCUUUAUAAUAAACGCAGAAGAUAAUUUUGCAUUGGCUGCUUAAUUUAGAUUGUAGCCCAUCUAUUUUUUAAUUUGCCUAUUGGUUAUUAAAUAGGUGUCGACUUAAAUAGGAUAAUUUGACAUUGCUCAACAGGAUGUUGGAGGAUUUUUUUACUGUUGAUGGUUUAAUAAAGCCUGCUGGUUGGCGUCUUAUUAAACGAGAUUUAUAAAUCAGCUAAAUAUGUAGAUGCUAUAGAAGAAGCUCUUUGGACGCGGGUUCAACUCCCGCCAUCUCCACU